rnacentral:rRNA from 1 species
AUUGAACGCUGGCGGCAUGCCUUACACAUGCAAGUCGAACGGUAACGGGCCUUCGGGUGCCGACGAGUGGCGAACGGGUGAGUAAUGUAUCGGAACGUACCUUUCAGUGGGGGAUAACGUAGCGAAAGUUACGCUAAUACCGCAUAUUCUGUGAGCAGGAAAGCAGGGGAUCGCAAGACCUUGCGCUGAUUGAGCGGCCGAUAUCAGAUUAGCUAGUUGGUGAGGUAAAGGCUCACCAAGGCUACGAUCUGUAGCGGGUCUGAGAGGAUGAUCCGCCACACUGGAACUGAGACACGGUCCAGAUUCCUACGGGAGGCAGCAGUGGGGAAUUUUGGACAAUGGGGGCAACCCUGAUCCAGCCAUGCCGCGUGAGUGAAGAAGGCCUUCGGGUUGUAAAGCUCUUUCGGCCGGGAAGAAAUCGUAUCAGCUAAUACCUGGUGCGGAUGACGGUACCGGCAUAAGAAGCACUGGCUAACUACGUGCCAGCAGCCGCAGUAAAAC